UACAGAGGUGGCAAGCGUUGUUCGGAAUUACUGGGCGUAAAGGGCGAGUAGGUGGCCAUCUAAGUCAGACGUGAAAUCCCCCCGGCUUAACCUGGGAACUGCGUCUGAUACUGGACGGCUUGAGUAUGGGAGAGGAAUGUAGAAUUCCAGGUGUAGCGGUGAAAUGCGUAGAUAUCUGGAGGAAUACCGGUGGCGAAGGCGGCAUUCUGGACCAUUACUGACACUGAAUCGCGAAAGCUAGGGGAGCAAACGGG
rnacentral:rRNA from 1 species